GUAGGGAAUUUUCCGCAAUGGGCGCAAGCCUGACGGAGCAACGCCGCGUGAGUGAAGACGGCCUUCGGGUUGUAAAGCUCUGUUCUUAGGGAAGAAGAAACCCGGGCCCCGCAAAAGUUUACUUUUGUGGGUGGGAAUGACGGUACCUAAGCAGAAAGCCCCGGCUAACUACGUGCCAGCAGCCGCGGUAAUACGUAGGGGGCAAGCGUUGUCCGGAAUUAUUGGGCGUAAAGCGCGCGCAGGCGGUUUGUUAAGUUGUGGGUAAAAGGCAUUGGCUCAACCAAUGUAAGCCUGCAAAACUGGCAGACUUGAGUGCAGGAGAGGGGAGUGGAAUUCCCGGUGUAGCGGUGGAAUGCGUAGAUAUCGGGAGGAACACCAGUGGCGAAGGCGACUCUCUGGCCUGUAACUGACGCUGAGGCGCGAAAGCGUGGGUAGCGAACAGGAUUAGAAACCCCAGUAGUCC
rnacentral:rRNA from 1 species